rnacentral:rRNA from 1 species
UUCUUUGGCCAUGCCACACUGAACAAGCACAAUGUCUGAUCUCAGAAGCUAAGCAGGGUCAGACCUGGUUAGUACUUGGAUGGGAGACCAUCUAGGAAGGUCAAGUGCUAUAAGCA